rnacentral:lncRNA from 1 species
AUGGCUAUAAAUUUUCCUUUAUACCACCUCACAAUGGAGUGGCAAACUUGCAAUUAAGCCAAAUUCACUACCCCUCUCUAUAUGGCCGGUUUUCCCAAGCCUUUGAGCUGUUUUGGGCUUCUUGAAUUUUGUUUGUUAAGUUGUCAUACAACUUAAGCUAAUGGGCUUGACGAUUCGAAGCCCAAAACUAACUCAAGGUUUAAAACGAACUUAUUCAUUUGAUUAAUUAACAUAUUAAUUAAUUCUUGCCAUAAACAAUUAAACCAUUUAAUUGUCAUUACUCAUCUCCGUCAAAUCCUUCAAGCAUUACCUUACACGGUGUGUGAUCCAUUAGGUUCCUUUUAGCGAGGUAGUAGGCGAUUAGAACUCUUUCAAAUCGAUUGUGAAUUGAAACUUACUUUCAAUUCUCCCUUUAGUGAUUAUACACGUUUAGGGCUUCCACAAACCAUGAGUGACACCUAGCCAAUGUCAUGGUUACCCAAGCUAAUUAGAAGAGGUGGAGAACCUAUUCAGUUUAGGAUUACAAUGCAAUACGGUCUUUCUCUAAUACAAUACUUUUGACCACAUUGUUUGGUUUGAUAGUUUAUUCAUGUCUACUAUCCAAUGCGAUUCAUUUACUUAUAUGAUUACCUUGAAUGUGAUUUGGAAUGACUUCCUAAAUCUCAUUCAUACUCUGGCCAGAGAUUCUUAAUCAUAUCAUAGAGUAUUCUCCCUCAAACAGUUUGAAGGUUAGAGAUCCCUUGUUGCGCAUUCACUUGCCUCCAUGGCUAAGUGGCUUAACCCCAACUAUGUCGUGAACACCCUCGGAUGGAGUGACUUUGACAUAGUCAAAGAUCAAGGACCUAACCACAAGACAACUAUGAUGUCUCAGGUCAAAGAACUACUUUGCAUUAUCCCAACCAUGAGUUCUCAUGUGACGUGAGUAUGAGAACUCCUUGUUGAUCGCGUUCAGUGAACUCAUUCUCUAUUGAGCACCUACGUACUUGUCUUGGUGUCAGUCACACCAAUGACUCGAGACCAGUCACUCUCCCUAAGAGAAGACAUAACACGUACUGAUCUUAACGGACUGUCAAUGCCUAAUUGGCAAUCCUAUGAUCAGGAACGUUUAGGAUAUGUAUACGAAAGAGAAUGGUCUCAUGAAUCUAACUUCUU